GAGGGUAUAGCUCACAUGGUAGAGCGCACGCUUAGGAUGCAUGAGACCCUAGGUUCAAUCCCCAGUACCUCCU
rnacentral:tRNA from 1 species